rnacentral:misc_RNA from 1 species
UCAGUUCUCUUGGAACAAGACGGAAGAGAGUCACUCUUACCGUCGCGCAUACCUUAAGCGGGUCUGCCGCCUUCGUUUCUCUUUCUUCAGCGAAUGACUUUGGAUCAGCGCUCGCGCGCCGUACCGCGGCCCUUUGGGCCGCUGGCGCUCCGCGAGGGCGCGGCAUAAGCCGCGACGGCCGGUCGGCCUUGCGAGGCUUUGCCUCGAGGUCACCAGCUCGUUACUGGCAGAGCGCGGUCUUUAGGGCUUGUAGCUCAGUUGGUUAGAGCGCGCGCUUGAUAAGCGUGAGGUCGGAGGUUCAAGUCCUCCCAGGCCCACCACUUCGCAAUCCGCAAGGAUUGUCGAAUCUCCUUGAUGCCUGCCAUCUUCUUGAUGGCUAAUCGGGACAACAAUCAGGGGCCGUAGCUCAGCUGGGAGAGCGCCUGCUUUGCAAGCAGGAUGUCGUCGGUUCGAUCCCGUCCGGCUCCACCACUUUCUUCUCUGGAAGAGAGGGUGUCGAGUAGAGAUGAGACAAAAGUCAUUCGAAAAAAGGUUUGUGGUGAGCUUCUUGGCUUGCCGCUUGUUCUGUUUGACAUCGUAAAGAGAAGAUUUGUUCGAACUUCAUGAUCCGAAAGGUCCAUGAUUUGUCGCGGGAGACGCUCAAUCUCCCGCAUAUGAUGGGUUUGCCUAACCGCGCCCUCGAACCGAUCUCGAGAAGCUGGUCUUUUUGUGUCAAUGACAUCGAAUUGGAUCCCGCACAGGAUCUGGUUCAGGCGACAGUUCCGUCGGAAUUGCGCGGACGCUAAACUCGCAAGGGUUUGGCUGAAGCGACAAUCCUUCGGAUUGCGCGGAUGGGCAUUGGCAAUGAGAACGAUCAAGUGUCUUAAGGGCAAUUGGUGGAUGCCUUGGCAUGCACAGGCGAUGAAGGACGUGAUACGCUGCGAUAAGCUACGGGAGGUGCG